rnacentral:rRNA from 1 species
CGUGGGANGGGGUCGCGUCCUAUCAGCUUGUUGGUGAGGUAACGGCUCACCAAGGCUUCGACGGGUAGCCGGCCUGAGAGGGCGACCGGCCACAUUGGGACUGAGAUACGGCCCAGACUCCUACGGGAGGCAGCAGUGGGGAAUAUUGCACAAUGGGCGCAAGCCUGAUGCAGCGACGCCGCGUGAGGGAUGGAGGCCUUCGGGUUGUAAACCUCUUUUGUUUGGGAGCAAGCCUUCGGGUGAGUGUACCUUUCNAAUAAGCGCCGGCUAACUACGUGCCAGCAGCCGCGGUAAUACGUAGGGCGCAAGCGUUAUCCGGAUUUAUUGGGCGUAAAGGGCUCGUAGGCGGCUCGUCGCGUCCGGUGUGAAAGUCCAUCGCUUAACGGUGGAUCUGCGCCGGGUACGGGCGGGCUGGAGUGCGGUAGGGGAGACUGGAAUUCCCGGUGUAACGGUGG